GGACUAUCUCAGCCUGAUCUAUCCCAGGAUAGUUACAUGAUGGGUGAGUUUCAUUCGCAAAUGGAUGGAUUGCUCUCACAAGAUUCAACAUAUCAAGGUGACCGUACUGUCACGUCAUUUUAUAAUCCACCAAAUACAUUGUACUCUCAGCAACCAUAUUGAAAACAUUUUACAAUGGACAAGUACAUCCAAUGAGCACGUGGGAACGUCUUGUUGGUGCUGAUAUAUCAACAGAAAAAAGAAUAUUUUUAUUAUUGAGCGUCGUAUGCAGACAUCAUGACCAACAAAUGUUAGCACAUAAAGUGUUUAUGGGAAAAAACUAAAGGCUUAGAUGAACAUUUACAAUUGAUUUUAUAUAACUAUUGUAUGUGGUGAACAAUACAUGUUAAAAUUUACGCUAUUGAACUGUUUUUGAGAAAACAAUGUUUUUUGCAUGUUAUUUGUUUAACAUAUUUAUUUUAUUUUAUUUGUUUAUUUAUUUAUUUAUUUUUUUUUGUUUAUUUUUAUUGACACGUAUGUAUUUACAGUCUUGCCCUUUUUUUUUUUUUGAGUUCAAAAAGAUAUGUUCCAAGCCUUUCUAUUACUAUCAAAAUUUGGAGUUCUUAAAUUAAAACAAUGAACCCAAUAAUAAACAAAUAUUAUAGUUCUGUAACUAUUCAAACAUUUAAUUGUGUAUCAACAGUUUUAUCACAAAUUUGAUGUCAAAAAAAUAAAAUUUUUAAUUUAGUCUACAUUUUCUUAUAAUAAUAAUAAUAAUUUUUAUUUCUGAGUUCAAUGUAAUUGUGUUCAGUAAUUUUUAACACUAACAAAUAUGGGCAGACUAUUUUGUUUGUAUGUUUAUAAAAAUAACAAAACAAAUUGUGCUUUAUUUGGAGAUAAAUGAAAAAGUAUAUUUUUAAUUUCCAUGGUAUUUAAGAGCUAAUCUUCCAUCCCAUAAUUAUGGGAUUAUACUUUGAUGUCAAGCAGUUGUGGAAUUGACUUGAGUUAUUUAAAAAUGUCAAUUGAUCAGUAAUCAAUUCAAAUUAUUUUAUUUUUAUGUUAUUUUUCGAUGYCAAUUAUUUGUUGGUUCACCUAAAAAUUAUAUGAUUAAGUCAAAGUAACA